GGUAUGAAAGGGUUAACGAAGAAGGUGCUGUGUCUAAAAAUUCAAUUUAAACUAACUUUAAGGUGAAGAGGCCUUUAUGUAGAAGAAGGACGACAAGACCCUAUGAAGCUUUAUCUUAAUUGGAGCUCUCAGGCUCUUAUACGAUUUUGAUGGGAGAUCAGUAGAAAUAAGUCUUCUACUAUCAUAUUAAUCUUACUAGUAUUUCCUAACUUUAUAUGUGUGGCUAGCUACUCUAGGGAUAACAGCGCAAUUUCUCCCGAAAGAUGGUAUUGGAGGGGAAGAUUGCGACCUCGAUGUUGGCUUUAGAUAUCCUAGAGGCGUAGAAGCUUCU
rnacentral:rRNA from 1 species